UCCUUUUCCUUCCAUAGUUACUUGCUUAUCUACUUGAAAUCUAAUCCGUCAAUUAUAAUGUGCCAUAAAUUUUCUUUUAAGGAAAAAGAAUGGAAAAAGGGAAGAGAUGAAGAUGAUGCUGAAGCACGAGUGCGAGAGAGGCUAGCAAAACUUAUAGCAAGGAAUGGUGCAGACUUUGAACGUUUUGGGUCCUAAAAUAUAAAUGAAGAUCCUAGAGGCCGAGCCAGUCAAUGACAAACUAACAGGAGGAAGCGCACUGCAUAAAUGCCUACUGUUGAAGCAACUCGAGUUCUUAGGUCCAAAACGACUAGAGAUGUUGAAGACAAAUACAUGGCAAAAGCAGGAAUGUGACCACAAGCAAGCUAGGAGGUUUCCGAAAGGCACACAAGUUGACGGACGCUUGAAAGACCUUCAAGCCGUUGAAGAUUUGGAAGACCUGUAAUUAAGUUGGUGGGGUGAUAAUGUCAUAUGCCUUGUUGAACAUGUAGACUUGCUCUGCCCAUUUUGGUUGUGUGGCACAUUUAGAAAUAUAUGUACUUCUCCAUUUGUGGCACUACUUCAUUUUGGUUGUGUGGCACAUCUAGAAACAUAUAUGUACUUCUCCAUUUGUGGCACAACCUCCUUAUAUAUGAUUGUUAUAUAUGUUUAUUGAAUCAACUUUAAGGUUUUUGA